ACGUAGGGGGCGAGCGUUGUCCGGAAUGACUGGGCGUAAAGGGCGUGUAGGCGGCUUUUUAAGUCUGGAGUGAAAGCCCCAUUUUCAAGGUGGGGAGUGCUUUGGAGACUGGAGAGCUUGAGUGCGGAAGAGGUAAGUGGAAUUCCCAGUGUAGCGGUGAAAUGCGUAGAGAUUGGGAGGAACACCAGUGGCGAAGGCGACUUACUGGGCCGUAACUGACGCUGAGGCGCGAAAGCGUGGGGAGCGAACAG
rnacentral:rRNA from 1 species